UUUAUGUAUCAAGUUGACAAGGGGUUAAUUUUGCUGGUCAAUUUUUUUGUCACCUUAACACAAGCUUGGAUUAGCUGGGGGCGGGGGAAGGGGAUAUCAAUUGAGAAAAUUCCUCCAUUAGAAUGGGCUGUAGGCCUGCCUGCCAGGGUACUUUCUCGAUUGUUAAUAAAUGGGAUGGCGGCGGGGUAGACUAGCAUAUUGGGUAAGGUUUUACCCCAGGGCUGCUGAUCAUGGAAAGUAUAAGAAAGGACACUGAGAAGAAAGUCACGUGCAGGGAGAUUGAAAGCAGCAUUCUGCCAGGGCCUCCUUUCUCCUGAGUUCCUGCCUCACUGUUCCUGCCCUCAGUUCCCUUAGUGAUGGAGUGUGAUUAAGACAUGUAAGCAAAUGAGCCCUUUCCUGCCCCAACUUGUAUUUGGUCCUGGUGUUUUAUCUGCCCUAUAGAAAGCAAACUAAGUCAAGGAAGGUUCAGGAAAUGACAACAAAUAUUUUCAAAAGGAGGGAAAGAGGAGGAGGAGGAAGAGAAGGAAAUAGAGAUUCCAGAGUGGCCACAGCAGCAAUGGGGGAGAAAGAAAAUGUGUUAGAUGAAAGAGGUCACAUCUUGCUAAGCGAAUAGGGCUGACGCCAGAGCACAAAUCCGCGGGUCCGGUUGUGUGCAGGUUGUGGAGCAGCGGGGAUGUGGGAGUGCAGAUGUCUUUGGUUGGGUGUUCUCUGUGAGCCCACACAGUGAGGCCUGAAGUUGAUGUCAAAAUCAUCACCAGGCAGAAGAGAGAGAGAGUGCAGAGCAGCCAGAGAAAAGUGUGGCUCUGUGCCUGUGAACGUCUGUGCAGAAUUGAAACUUUCAGUUCAGUUCAUUGAAAUUCAAGGCGUUUCAGAGAAUUUCAGGGCAGGUAAAUUGAUAAGGUUGGACGCUGAGAAUUAAAUCUGAAUUAAAGUUUUAUCAGUGAGGAAUAGAUUCUUUUUUGUUUGUUUGUUUUCGUUUUUUGUUUUGUUUAACAUAGCGUUUUUUUGUACUUAGCGGUAGUCAGUGUGCCCCGCUAUGGUAUCAGAUAAAAAAAGAAAAGGUGAACUGUGAACCAGCUCUCUCAGGGCCUUAGCCUUUAAAGGCUGAGCCAUCCCUCCGGCCCCGCCCCGCUUCCUAUUCUUUCUCUUAAGUAGCGACCUGGGCGUUGCGCAACCACUUCUCUGUUGAGUGCAUUCUUGUUCUCAAUACUAAACAACUCUCAUUUGUUUUCCUUGUGCACAAAACCAAACACUCGAGGAGAAAAGAAAAAAACCCGAACUCUUUGCAGCGAGCAUUUUGCUCUGAACAGUGGCUAAUGACUCAUUGUGGUGCAGGGCUAGAGAAAAGAAACCUAAGGGGCACGAGAGAGCUGAGCAGGCGGGUUGUAGAGAUGAGAGAGAACCUGUAGGGAAGAGAAGGGUGUGGAGUGCGGCGUGGGCAGGCGUGAGGGUCGGGCGUGUGCGUGGAUAAAGGUUUGUAAGCAGCAGUGUGGAGCGGGAGCUGGUGGGGCUGAAGAAGGCGAUCCGGUUGGGGUGCGGGUAGCCGAUCAGAUUUCAGGGGGAAGAAACAUAAGAAGAGGCCUUGUGGAGGUUGAAAGUUUGUUUGGGGGCGCAGUAUAACCGUGGAUUUGUGGUUUUGUUGAAAAUGGGAGAGAAAAAAAGCGUGUAGACCAGGCUGUCCUCGAACUCCAGAUCCUCCUGCCUCUGCCUCCUUCAGCAAAUCCUACCGGCCUGCGCCACCAGAACCGGCGGUAGAGAGCUUGAAAAUCGUUCUAUUGAAGCGUCUUCUUAGUGACGCACGCUAACUGGUAUUUAGCGGAAGGAUCUCUGUAACCGUGGAGCCAAUAGCACUCCGUCUGUCCCACGCUCUCCACCGGCUUUACACAAACUCUCCGCUGAGCUCUCGCACUCUUCGGGCCUCACGCCCGCCGCCCUCACCGAACCACACCCGCAACAAUCCCGGAAGGUCUUUCCCGCCCCACGUCCCCCGCGGGCCACGCCGGGUAACACAGUCCCGGCACCGCAAGGCGACUGCGCGCUCAGCCCGGAAGAUCCGUGACUGCAAGGAGGCUGCACACGGAGGCCACCCUCCUCAGGGAUGACUGACACGUCUCAAAACUCAAUCCUCCCGCAUCCUGCUGGGAGCACUUGGAAGCUUGCCCCUGGUUUUUGUCCACGUGCGGGACUCCAGGAAAGAUCGGACCAGCGUGUGAAGAAAACUCGACAUGAAAAUAAAAUAGUGCGUGGACAUCUCUGAUUCUUGCCCACUGGUCCCCCGAUCACCAGAACGUUCACCUUCAGUCGUAGACAACCCCUUCAAGGUGCCCACCAGCUCGGGAGGACCGCCUCACCCUCAGCUUUAACAGUCCUUGCCCAGGGUGCGUUCCCCUGGAUAGCCACCCAUCUGUACAUGGCUGUAGCAAAAUGUUAAAGAAUGUUAGCAAGUUUCCUUCCACCCAAGGGUAGAGAGUGUGGACAAAAAUCCAGUUCUUGUAUUGUUUCAUAGCCAGCCCAAGGUUCUCAGUUAACACUUGCCAUCGCUGAUUUGUUACCUAAAGGGGGGUAGGAGGGGAUGUAUUAAGCAUACAUUCUGAAAAAUUAACCAUGUAUCGUUCUGAAUUUCGGCAAUGCUUUGUGAAAGCAUUAAAAUGCUAGUGCUGUUCAAAAAUGGA